CUUCAGCCUUGUAUUUUUAGUUGGCCUAUUCCUGUUCAAGGACGUCCCACCCCCACCACCUUGGAGUAGUUGUUCUUCUUAGCCUCAGGAGAUUGGAACUUCCAUGGUUUCUCUUCCCUUGAAGAAACACAUGGAGCAGACAUUAAGUUUGAAGGACCAUUUUGAAUUAUUCAGUAACAACCUAAGCCUCUAUACAGGAAUCCAAGCCACAGAGAUCAGACUCUGGAGCCAGACUCUGCAAACCCUCUUCUCAAAGGAUUCUGAUGAGAGAUCCACUUACUGGACUUCAAGCCAUGUACCAGCAAGCACAUGGCCUUGAAAAGCAACUCCCUGUAAGAGAUGUGAUGUCUACAGAUAUUCGGUAUGGUUUUGACCUAAGAUGUACGUACGGCUGUAUUACAUUUUGCACAAGAAAAUGGAAAUGAUCAAUUUAAGUUCCAAAAAAUUAAAUUUUCUCUACCACUGUAAAAAUAAAAUUAUACACAGCAAAAUA